rnacentral:rRNA from 1 species
UACGGGGGGGGCAAGCGUUGUUCGGAAUUACUGGGCGUAAAGGGCUCGUAGGCGGCCAACUAAGUCAGACGUGAAAUCCCUCGGCUUAACCGGGGAACUGCAUCUGAUACUGGAUGGCUUGAGUUCGGGAGAGGGAUGUGGAAUUCCAGGUGUAGCGGUGAAAUGCGUAGAUAUCUGGAGGAACACCGGUGGCGAAAGCGGCGGACUGGAUCUUUUCUGACGCUGAGGCGCGAAAGCUAGGGGAGCAAACGGG